rnacentral:misc_RNA from 1 species
GAUGAAGAACGCAGCGAAAUGCGAUAAGUAAUGUGAAUUGCAGAAUUCAGUGAAUCAUCGAGUCUUUGAACGCACAUUGCGCCCCCUGGUAUUCCGGGGGGCAUGCCUGUCCGAGCGUCAUUGCUGCCCUCAAGCACGGCUUGUGUGUUGGGCCGUCGUCCCCCUCCUAGGGGACGGGCCCGAAAGGCAGCGGCGGCACCGCGUCCGGUCCUCGAGCGUAUGGGGCUUCGUCACCCGUUCCGUAGGCCCGGCCGGCGCUUGCCGACGACCAUCAAUCUCUUUCUCCAGGUUGACCUCGGAUCAGGUAGGGAUACCCGCUGAACUUAAGCAUAUCAAUAAGCGGAGGA